GAUGAACGCUGGCGGCGUGCCUAAUACAUGCAAGUCGAGCGAAUGGAUUAAGAGCUUGCUCUUAUGAAGUUAGCGGCGGACGGGUGAGUAACACGUGGGUAACCUGCCCAUAAGACUGGGAUAACUCCGGGAAACCGGGGCUAAUACCGGAUAACAUUUUGAACCGCAUGGUUCGAAAUUGGAAGGCGGCUUCGGCUGUCACUUAUGGAUGGACCCGCGUCGCAUUAGCUAGUUGGUGAGGUAACGGCUCACCAAGGCAACGAUGCGUAGCCGAACUGAGAGGGUGAUCGGCCACACUGGGACUGAGACACGGCCCAGACUCCUACGGGAGGCAGCAGUAGGGAAUCUUCCGCAAUGGACGAAAGUCUGACGGAGCAACGUCGCGUGAGUGAUGAAGGCUUUCGGGUCGUAAAACUCUGUUGUUAGGGAAGAACAAGUGCUAGUUGAAUAAGCUGGCACCUUGACGGUACCUAACCAGAAAGCCACGGCUAACUACGUGCCAGCCGCCGCGGUAA
rnacentral:rRNA from 1 species